rnacentral:rRNA from 1 species
GAUGAACGCUGGCGGCGUGCCUAAUACAUGCAAGUCGAGCGAACAGACGAGGAGCUUGCUCCUCUGACGUUAGCGGCGGACGGGUGAGUAACACGUGGAUAACCUACCUAUAAGACUGGGAUAACUUCGGGAAACCGGAGCUAAUACCGGAUAAUAUAUUGAACCGCAUGGUUCAAUAGUGAAAGACGGUUUUGCUGUCACUUAUAGAUGGAUCCGCGCCGCAUUAGCUAGUUGGUAAGGUAACGGCUUACCAAGGCAACGAUGCGUAGCCGACCUGAGAGGGUGAUCGGCCACACUGGAGCUGAGACACGGUCCAGACUCCUACGGGAGGCAGCAGUAGGGAAUCUUCCGCAAUGGGCGAAAGCCUGACGGAGCAACGCCGCGUGAGUGAUGAAGGUCUUCGGAUCGUAAAACUCUGUUAUUAGGGAAGAGCAAAUGUGUAAGUAACUAUGCACGUCUUGACGGUACCUAAUCAGAAAGCCACGGCUAACUACGUG